rnacentral:lncRNA from 1 species
CCGGGGUGCUAGCUUUCUUGCAAAGAUCUUGUGUUUGAUGGCUGGAGUAGCUUCUUCUCUAGAUCUCACAGACACUCUAAAGAUAUAGAAGAACUGGAGGAAGAGAAAAGAGGAGGAGGCUUGGCAUCAGAGAGAAAUUAAUCUCAUCUCUCUUGGGCGUCCAAUCUUUGGACCCCUUUUAUAGGGAGGAAGAGAUUGGGGUUUAGGAGG